GAGGUUCUAUACUACGUCGCAGAGGCUGGUUCUUGAAAUUUUUUGAGUUCACCACAAUUUUAGCAAUUUUGUGUACCAGCUCUUUCAGCUUAUUUGUAGCAUGUGUGCUUCUCCACAAUACUGAAGUUUUGAACAGUGGUAGCCUGUAACAAACCUAUAAAGCCCUAUGAUGUUUGGCACCAUGAGGUGUUUAUAUGGAUUGGUAACUCUGUAACUCGUAUUAUUUUAAUUGUUGGAGAGGAAAAGAAAAGUAGAAG
rnacentral:lncRNA from 1 species